rnacentral:rRNA from 1 species
CUACGGGCGGCUCCAGUGGGGAAUAUUGCACAAUGGACGAAAGUCUGAUGCAGCAACGCCGCGUGGAGGAUGACACAUUUCGGUGCGUAAACUCCUUUUAUAUAGGAAGAUAAUGACGGUACUAUAUGAAUAAGCGCCGGCUAACUCCGUGCCAGCAGCCGCGGUAAUACGGAGGGCGCAAGCGUUACUCGGAAUCACUGGGCGUAAAGAGCGUGUAGGCGGAUAGAUAAGUCAGGAGUGAAAUCCUAUGGCUCAACCAUAGAACUGCUCUUGAAACUGUCUAUCUAGAAUAUGGGAGAGGUAGAUGGAAUUUCUGGUGUAGGGGUAAAAUCCGUAGAGAUCAGAAGGAAUACCGAUUGCGAAGGCGAUCUACUGGAACAUUAUUGACGCUGAGACGCGAAAGCGUGGGGAGCAAACAGGAUUAGAUACCCGUGUAGUC